rnacentral:rRNA from 1 species
UGACGGUACCAUAAGAAUAAGCACCGGCUAACUCCGUGCCAGCAGCCGCGGUAAUACGGAGGGUGCAAGCGUUAUCCGGAAUCACUGGGUUUAAAGGGUGCGUAGGCUGUUUAUAGUCAGUGGUGAAAGGCCGUCGCUUAACGAUGGGACUGCCAUUGAUACUGUUAGACUUGAAUCAGGUUGAGGUUGGCGGAAUGUGGCAUGUAGCGGUGAAAUGCAUAGAUAUGCCAUGGAAUACCGAUUGCGAAGGCAGCUGACUGGGCCUUGAUUGACGCUGAGGCACGAAAGCGUGGGUAGCGAACAGGAUUAGAUACCCUGGUAGUCCACGCCCUAAACGAUGCUUACUCGUUGUUUGGCUUCGGGAUGAGUGACUAAGCGAAAGCGAUAAGUAAGCCACCUGGGGAGUACG